CCCGGCCCGCGUCGCCUCAGUUCCCGCCGCGCCCACUAGUCCGACCCUCGGGGCAGCACCCAGGAAGGACGACUCGCCGCUCCGCGGGCCCCACGGCGUCCCGAGGUGACCCGGGAGGCCCCGCCCCGUGAGGCUGCGUCAGUGCUGGUGACGUCACGCCUGCAUGACGCCAGCGGCCGUGCGCUGACCUCCGGCCUGGGCGUGCUCUGGGCCUCUGGGGAGCGGAACUGUCGGUCCUCGGAGCUCCUGAACCGACGGCUGACGGCGCGAAGCACCUGCGCCCGGUGAAGGUUUGAACCUCCUCUCCCGUGUCAGGUCUUCACCCGGUGACGCACCUGGCGUCAGCUCGCACCUGCCUCCCGGGCCGGGUGUCUCAGGCUCCGCUGCGGAGACAGCGUCCGGGCCGAGCUCUCCAGCUGGCGCGUGCUACCCAGAGCUUCGGGGGCGGCCUCCCGAACCCCGCGGGAGGAUGAGCGACGCCAGCCUGUGUCACAGCUUCGGAGUCGAUGCACUGUGCGGGCCAGAUCCUUUGGACGCCUCUGACGUCUAAGAACCGCCCCAAACGCAGCUCCCAGGUAGGCUCCCCACCCAGUAUUGGGUUCAGAAGCUCACAACCUGAGAUCAAGAGUCACAUGCUCUACUGAUUGAAUCAGCCAGGAGCCCUGGAUUUUUUUUUCCUUAGUAAAAAUAGAAUGCAAGCUGGCAAAAUGAGAGGAAACAAAUCAGGAAAAGAAAACAGGAAAUAUUGGAAAGAUAAAUAGAGUCUUUCCUGUGAAGGGUGUUCUCUUCAUUGUAGUCACUCAGGACUGUAUGAAAUGCUGUCACUUACCCUACCAGGAGGACAAGAGGAUGCAGAGAAGCAUGCACUUGCUCUAAAACCUUCUGGCAAGAAGUGACACAGGCUGCUUAUGCUCACAUUCUGUUGAUGAAAGCAAGAACAGAGACCUAAUUUCAAGUGAGGAGUGAAGUACAAUCCUACCAUGUGCCUGGAACGAGGGAGAACCAGAAUAUAUAUGGCACUAAUGGCUGCCACAGAAAAGAACUGAAUAGUAACACCAACAAAUGCAAAAUGCAACAGUAACAAGUCCUAUGGAGGGAAGGAGGAAGACACUAAGCUAUGACUAUGUGUGCCAAUAAUGGGGAAUGUGAUCUAGUCAGAGGUGAGAAUAUCAUCCCCCUACCCUGUCUCAGGAAGGGGCACUGAAGAUUAGGAUUAGUAGGAGUUAAUGUAGAAAAAGGAGGGAAAAGCAUUUCAGACAGACAGAAGGACUGGUAAAAGUCCGCAAUGGAGUUGGAGGUGUUGGGUUACAUAGCUGGGAAAGUGAGGGACUAGAUGAGCCAUGUAGGCCAUCUCUUUUUUAUGAGAGAUUUAAAGCAAGGCAUGACAUAAUCAGAUUUUUUUUAAGCCCUUUGGUCUGGUGGCAAGAUAGGGACAGACCAUGUAGACGUGAUUGUAAUGUCAAGAAGGGAGACAGUGGUACUAUGGACUAGGAUGGCAGUUGCCAGGACAGAGAGCUCCGAUGAUCCCAAGUGUUAAUUCAUACUCCCCAAUCCAUACUCCCUGUUUAAGAUAAAUGUUCAGGGGGCGCCUGGGUCGCUCAGUCGGUUAAGCAGCCUGCAGUUGAUUUCAGCUCAGGUCAUGAUCUCAGGAUCCUGUGAUUCAACCCCACAUCUUCAGGGCUCCCUGCUUAGUGGGGACUCUGCUUGAGGAAUCUCUUCCUCUCCUCUGCCCCUGCCCCCUGCUCAUUCUCACUCAUUCUCUUGCAUUCUCUCUUCCUCUCAAAUAAAUAAAUAAAUAAAUAAAUAAAUAAAUAAAUAAAUCUUUUUUUUUAAAAAAAGACAAAUGUUCAUUUUUUCACUUACUUAUACAGCCAAUAUUUUAAUAUAUUCUGUUUCCUACAGAAUGUAUUUUAGGGUUUUUCAUGAAAUAAGGAUCACAUUUAAGAUAUCAUUUCAGGGGGUACCUGGGUGGCUCAGUAGGUUAAGCAUCUGACUCUUGAUUUCAACUUAUGUGGUGAUCUUAGGGACAUGAGACUGAGCACUGCGUCAGGCUCUGUACUAAGUAUGGAGCUUCCCUAAGAUUCUCUCUCUCUCUCUCUCUCUCUCUUUCUCUCUCUGUCUCUCCCUCUCUCUCCCCCCUUCCCCUGCUAAUGCUCUUCUCUCUCUCAAAAUAAAUAGAUGAUAGGCAGAUACAUAGAUAGAUAGAUGAUAGGUAGAUAUAUAGAUAAGUAAAUUUUUUUUAAUUUUCAUUUCAGUACCUUAAGCACUCAGGCCCCAAAUAUCAAAAUGCUUUUUUUAAACUAAAUAAUAAAAUGAUCAGAUUUACCUUUUGCUUCUGUUUUAUAAAUGUGACUCCUUAUAGAGAAAAUUUGUGUUUUAUUAAGCAGAAGAGCACCUGUUUAUUUAGCUGUGAGUGGUGGUUUUGUUUUUGCUUCUUGGUACUUACUAUGGAAGGAUGACUUUGUAGGAAGGACAUCAUCCAGCUAAUAGCAAACUUUGUUGAUCCCAAUCCAAGAUUUCCCUAAAAGACUCAAGGAAAUAAGUUAUGUUCAUGAAGUUCAAGUUGUGCAUGAAAGGAUAUUCAUUCUCAAAUACAAUUUAUCUUAAUUAAUGAAAUCUUUAUCAUCAGUAUUUAGAAAAAAUUAAAAGUAAUUCAGUAUUUAGGAAAACUGGACGAGUACUUAAGAGCAAAUGUAGUAUCAUUUAAGUCAGCCAAUUUUGGAGAUCAUCUCUAAUACAAGUAUAGUAAAUGUAUAUUAUUAAUCAUAUAUAUUAUCAUAGAUAUGUAAUAGUCAUGUUAUAUAUAAAAAAAUCACACAGUAUAAUAUGUAUAAUAAAAUAUAUAUUAUACCUGCUGAAAGACAAGAAGUAUCUCAUAUAAAAGUGCCGUAGCUGUAUCUGUAUAUUCCACAAUAAGCUUCUGUAACUAGAAUUUUAAAUAAUAAGAUAUCAUUGUUAGGGCCAAAAAAAAUAGUCAUUUCUUCUGUUUACCUUUAGGUACUUAUAAAAGAAUUUUUGGUUAACUGAAAAUAUAAUGAGUGUGGUCAGUUUUCCUGUUCUAUUUGAUUCAAUCGUUCUAAAAAAAAAAAACCCAAAAACGGCUUUCAUAAAAAGACUACACAUUGAAUAAUGUCUAAGAAAGUGGGUCAGGGAAAAAAGAUACAAUGGCUCAUAGAAUACUGAUUUGCACAAAAAAAGCACAAAAAAACUGAUUUACAAAAUCAUUCAGAUCAAGAAAUGUACAUCCUUUCAAGAGUAUUGAAAUAUGCUCCCUAGAAUUUAAGGUGGGCAAUUCUCUGGGAAAUUUAAUUUAGCCUUAUGCCUAACGUGAACUACAACUGCCUCUGUAACAUGGGUAAAUAUAGGGCUUAGAGAUUUUCUUCUCUCUCUCUCUCUUUCUCUCUUUCUCUCUGUCUCUCUGUCUCUCUCAAGAACUCCAGUUAGUGAGGCUGUCUUCUGGUCUCAAUGUCUUCUAGCCCAUUCAUACAUAUGAAUAUUUGUGUUAUGUUUAAUUAACAUCUCAACCAGAAUGAAUAUGAAUUUUUCUAUAUUUCUCUAAUAUUCAUAUGUAUGAAUAUUAUAUUUGUGAAUAUCUAUAAUAUUCUAUUAUAUUCUCAUCUUCAUUUUAUGUUUAAUUAAGACCUGUCUCUCUAACCAAACUAUAAACCGAUGAGGGCAGAGGUUGUGUCUGUUUUGCUUCUUGUUUGGACCCCACUGCCUACCAUACUGUUUAGCUCAUAAUAGAGUUACAAUAAAUAUUAUUAAAUGAAUGCAUAAAUUUAAGAGUUUUCUAAAACAUAAUGCUAAUUGUAUGUUUAAGAAGUAUUUAAUCAAAAAAUUUUAAAAAAGAACUAUUUAAUCAUAUCCUAUCCUUUAAAAGAAUUCUGUGUUGUUCUGCUCAAAAUAAACUAAUAAGCUGAUUUAUUCUCAGAAUAUGUGCUUUUUUGGUAGUCUGAUAUUUCUAAUGUAUUAGUAAAACCUUAGGAAAAAAAAUAAUUCUCACUGAGUUUGCACUACUUAGAUACAUAAAAGGGAUGGUAAACUAAAGCAAGAGAGUUAACCCUAAAAUCUCUUAAAGACAGUGUUUUUUACUAUUAGACUCCUAAUGUAGAAUUACAUACACAUAAAUAUUUUGUAUAGAGACAUAAACAGAUUUAUUUAAUGCAUACUGAAUACUAAUCAUUUUCCUUAGUAUUCAUAGUUUAAAACAUAUAAAAUGGAUAUAUUAUUAGUAUUAAAGAUUUUAUUUAUUCAUGAGAGACAGAGAGAGAGAGAGGCAGAGACAUGGGCAGAGGGAGAAGCAGGCUCCACACAAGGAGCCCAAUGCAGGAAUUGAUCCCAAGAGUCCGGGAGACACUCAACCACUGAGCCACCCAGGUGUACCUAAAAUGGAUGUAUUAAUAUUGAUAAUGGGUAUCUAAGUUUUGAGGUUAAUGGCAAAAUUUCCUCUUUGAUUUAAUUAUAUUUCUGUAUUCUACAAUGUCAUGGUCCACAUUAGAAAACAGGAAGCCAGGGUACCCUUAUAUGUUGUAUUUAGUCUACCGCAAAAUUCUCAUCUCACCUCAGCAUCAAAAGACAUCUCAACUAAAGUUGAAUCAGCCACCAACUGGAUAUCAAACACAGGAUAAGAUUUUGGAAUCUGAGGUUCACUAAUUAAAAUUACCAGAAGAUUAAACAAUAUUCCCCUAAAAAAAUAAAUAAAAGGCAAUUAAUGAAUAAAGUUUGAAAACAAUAAAGCCAAGUUUGCAGACAUUGAAUAAUACUUACAAGUAUAAACCACUGCAAACUAUUCUUGACUGAACUUUUGAAUUCCUGGACAUGCAAUUAACUAAGUAGUGAUAAGACAUUUAAGUGAAAAAUACGAUUUCUUGAUCUUCUGACUCAAAGCAAGUUUUUUGUUUUUUUUAAGAAAGUGUGUGAAAGCGUGAGAGCAGGAGUGGGAGGGGCAGAGGGACAGAAAGAAUCUUAAGCAAGCCCCACACCCAGCACAUAGCCUGACAAGGGGCUCAAUCUCAUGACCCUGAAAUCAUGAGCCAAAAUCAAGAGUCAGUCAUUUAACAGACUGAGCCAACCAGGCACCCCUCAAAGCAAGUAUACCUCUACAAGUUCACAUAGCUUAGAAAGCUUGGUAAGUCUGGACUUCAGGGAAAUUUGGGUGAUUUCAAUUAUAGCUGUAUUUUCCAAAGGGCUCUUUUUUCCCCCAAAGGGCUUUUUAUGGGCUACUAAUUCCAGGCAGUAUUAUAGUCAAAAUAGAUUGUGAUUGAAAGAGAAACAGGAAAUACUUAGUUAAACCAAAUUCAUGAGAUAUCUAUACUAUUAGACUUCUCAGAAGCUUUAAUAUGCUCGCAUGCACUGUAUAUCUCCAGGACAAAGAAACUUUUGUAUGAAGCAUUUCCUAAAAUGCUUUUUAAAAUUUUUUAAUUGAAAUAUAGUUGACAUACUAGUUUCAGGUGUAUAAGAUAGUGAUUCAACAAUUAUAUGCAUUAUCAAAUGCUUACCAUGGUAAGUAUAGUUACCAUCUGUCACCAUAGAAAGCUAUUACAUGAUUAACUAUAUUCCCUAUCCCAUACUUUUCAUCCCCAUGACUUUCUUAUUUUAUAUGGAAAUUUGUACCUCUUAAUCCCCUUUUACCUUUUUUUCCCAUCCCCUCAUCCCCCUGCCAUUGGGCAAUCACUUGUUUGUUCUCCGUAUUUAUGAGUCAGUUUCUCCUUUUGUUGUUAUUUUUUUGCUUUGUUUUUUAGAUUCCACAUAUAAGUGAAAUCAUAUGGUAUUUGUCUUUGACUUACUUCUCUUAGGAUAAUACCCUCUAAGCCCAUCCAUAUUGUCACAAAUAGCAAGAUUUUAUUCUAUGUUAUAGCUAAGUAAUAUUCUAUUGUGCAUAUACACAAUAUCUUUUUUAUCCAUUCAUCUAUCAGUGGAUAUUUAGGUGGCUUCCAUAUCUUGGCUAUUGUAAAUAAUGUUGCAGUAAACAUAGGACUGCAUAUAAUUUUUUAGAUUAGUGUUUUUAUUUUCUUUGGAUGACUAUCCAGAAAUAGAAUUACUGGAUAUGGUACUUAUAUUUUUAGUUUUUUGAAGAACCUCCAUACUGUUUUCCAGAGUGGUCGCACCAAUUUAUAUUCUCAACAGCAGUGCAAAAAAGAAAAAAAAAAAGAGAAUGGAACUCUUUUUUUAACAAAGCAUUUGAGAGGUUUUCUGUUCCACUGAAGACUACUAGCUAUUAGUUAAUAAAACUAAUAUUACUUUAAGUCUUUUGCUUUCAAAACCAGUGUACUACCCAUUAACCUACACUAAUAACUCAUUUAAAUUGUUACUAUAAAAAAAUAAAUUGUUACUAUAUGUUUGAAUAAUAUACCCUAUUUACUUGAAAAUAAAGAGAAAAAAAUCACACUCCAAAUUAAGGAUCCUGAGGAAUAGGGUUUGGCAACACCAUCUUCAUAUUUGUCAUGCAAUCUAUGUAUAGUUGUAAAGGAGCUGAAGGCGGACCACUAGGAAAAUCCGUUGCCUAACCAAAGAUAGUAUCAGAGUAGCUUUGACAGAUGGGAAUAGUAAAAGAAUUUAUAGAUAGGACUAUAUAUAAAUCCUCUAUAACCAUUAGCAUUCUCUUCAUAAUGGAAUAAAAGAAACUACAAACAAUCCCUAUUUAGUAAUAAUUGAGACUUCC